UAACAGUGUCUCAUUCAAUAAUGUGAUUUUGAUGUCUCUCUUUUGUUCUAGAUUUAGUUGAAUGCAAAGAAAAGCUUAGAAAUGCAGAGAGAGAAGGAAAGGCAGAGAAGAGAGAGAGGUCUUCCAUCCGCUUACUCACUCCCUAGAUGGCUGCAACUGCCGGAGCUGCGCCGAUCCGAAGCCAGGAGCCAGGAGCUUCUACCAGGUCUACCACGAGGGUGCAGGGGCUUAAGGACUUCGGCCAUCUUCUACUGCUUUCCCAGGUGAUAGCAGAGAGCUGGAUAGGAAGUGGAGCAGCCGGGACUUGAACCAGCGACCAUAUGGGAUGUCAGCACUGCAGGUGGCGGCUUUACCCUCUAGGCCACGGUGCUGGCCCCAAGAUUGGAGAAGUGUUGCUGAGAAAAUUGCCCUAGAACUUUGCACAAUGAAGCUUAUGCAUGGUGGAAUACAAACAGAAGUGAGUCAGUCUCCUUAAACCACACCCUGAGCAUCCUGGAUUCUACACAGAGGCAGACUUCACCCACUCUCAUGACUCACUGUUACCAAAUCUACAGCAAGUUUGUUGCCACUACUCUGGAUAUUUGGCAGAAGAACUUACCGAUAUUCAAAAAGUAGUUUCAUCACAUCACUCCAAUGAUGCAAAGAAGAGAAGUCUCUGAAACUGAGCAGUCUGAUUAUAUUUACAAUGAAUGAAUGACUCUUUUCACUGUAUCAUGCUACAGGUUUUUCCUCAUGAAAGCUAUUUUCCAGAGUUUUGGGUAUAACCCACCUCUUCACUACAUGAAAGGAUCACACAUUCCUAAAAGUAAGACAUGAAGACCAAAUUUUAACAUUUAAUUUGUGUCCUAAGAAUUUUAUAUGGCCUAAUUUUUAAAAAAACAAACUUAGAGUAUUAAAAUAUGUUUUAGACAAGCAAUUCCUGUGUG